rnacentral:lncRNA from 1 species
CAGUGAGGUAUCAACCGAUUCCUCUGCAACAUUAGACUUGAAGCAUUUGCCUUAUUCUCAUCAUUUCCAACUCUCAGAUAUUUGCAUGUUGUACUUGACUGAUUGCUCAUCAGUGUUCCAUAAGGGACCCAAUAGUACGUGCUCAGCAGGCCUUGGUCAAAUACUGGUAUCCAAAGGCCAGACAUGAAAGAAGAGGCAGAGGAACCUACAGCAGGCAAGGCAAGCUUCACCCUAGAAUACGCAGUGGGAAAGUGAGAAGCAAGAUUUCUCUAAGUACUCCGUCCUCAUGGAUCCUCUAUGAUUGAAAGAAGACUUCAGUGAACUGAAGAGGCAUGACUCUUCAGUGACAGAAUCUGUAGGUUUACAGUAUUUCACAUGAUGUGGAUCCAGAGAAAACAAUCCAUUUCUUUGGAGCACCUCUGAAUUUCUCAUCUGCAUUGGAAAUCAUUGGCAAGCUAAAUCUCUGAUACCUGAAGCCCCAGCCUGGCACUAGCUGGAAAAGAGGUAAGUGUUUGGUCUCAUCCCGUAUCUAAUGUCCAGUAGACAUCUAAAUAUCAAACA